rnacentral:tRNA from 1 species
AGGCUUGUAGCUCAGGUGGUUAGAGCGCAACCCUGAUAAGGGUGAGGUAGGUGGAUCAAGUCCACUCAGGCCUACCA